GUACGCUGGCGGCACGCCUAACACAUGCAAGUCGAACGAAGUAGUAAUACUUAGUGGCAGACGGGUGAGUAACAUGUAGGUAUCUGCCCUUUGGCCUGGAAUAACACGAGGAAACUUGUGCUAAUACCGGAUAAGUCUUUACGGAGAAAGCUUUAUGCACCAUUGGAUGAGCCUGCACUUGAUUAGUUUGUUGGUGGGGUAAUGGCCUACCAAGACUGUGAUCAAUAGCUGAUUUGAGAGGAUGAUCAGCCACAUUGGGACUGAGACACGGCCCAAACUCCUACGGGAGGCAGCAGUGGGGAAUCUUGCACAAUGGAGGAAACUCUGAUGCAGCGAUGCCGCGUGAGUGAAGAAGGCCUUUGGGUUGUAAAGCUCUUUCGUCGGGGAAGAAAAUGACUGUACCCGAAUAAGAAGGUCCGGCUAACUUCG
rnacentral:rRNA from 1 species